rnacentral:rRNA from 1 species
CCGGCGACCGGCGCACGGUGAGUAACACGUAUGGAACCUGCCCGCAGCAGGGGGAUAAGCGGAAGAAAUUCCGUCUAAUACCGCGUAACACCGCAGAGGGGCAUCCCUCGGCGGUUAAAGAUUCAUCGGCUGCGGAUGGCCAUGCGGCGCAUUAGCUAGUCGGCGGGGUAACGGCCCACCGAGGCGACGAUGCGUAGGGGUUCUGAGAGGAAGGUCCCCCACACUGGUACUGAGACACGGACCAGACUCCUACGGAAGGCAGCAG